rnacentral:sRNA from 1 species
GCCAGGUGCAGUGAUGGACCCCUGUAAUCCCAGCAACUUGGGAGGCUAAGACAGGAGGAUCGCAAAUUCAAAGUCAGCAUCAGCGAUGGCAAGGCAUUGAGCAACUCAGUGAGACCCUGUCUCUA